GGACUACAGGGGUAUCUAAUCCCGUUUGCUCCCCACGCUUUCGCACAUGAGCGUCAGGUCAGUGCCAGGGUGCCGCUUUCGCCACUGGUAUUCCUCCCGAUAUCUACGCAUUCCACCACUACACCGGGAAUUCUACACCCCUCUCACCACCUCAAGCCAACCAGUUUCCAACGACCUCUCCCAGUUAAGCCAGGAGAUUUCACGUCAGACUUAAUCAGCCGCCUGCGUGCGCUUUACGCCCAGUAAUUCCGGAUAACGCUUGUCACCUACGUAUUACCGCGGCGGCUG
rnacentral:misc_RNA from 1 species